rnacentral:rRNA from 1 species
ACCAGACUCCUACGGGAGGCAGCAGUGGGGAAUAUUGCACAAUGGGGGAAACCCUGAUGCAGCGACGCCGCGUGAGUGAAGAAGUAUUUCGGUAUGUAAAGCUCUCUCAGCAGGAAAGAAAAUGACGGUACCUGACUAAGAAGCCCCGGCUAACUACGUGCCAGCAGCCGCGGUAAUACGUAGGGGGCAAGCGUUAUCCGGAUUUACUGGGUGUAAAGGGAGCGUAGACGGUGAAGCAAGUCUGAAGUGAAAGGCGGGGGCUCAACUGCGGGACUGCUUUUGAAACUGUAUAGCUUGAGUGCAGGAGAGGUAAGCGGAAUUCCUAGUGUAGCGGUGAAAUGCGUAGAUAUUAGGAGGAACACCAGUGGCGAAGGCGGCUUACUGGACUGUAACUGACGUUGAGGCUCGAAAGCGUGGGGAGCAAACAGGAUUAGAUACCCGAGUAA